CUCAUUUUAAUUCGCCCACAGUUUUUUGUUGGCUGACUUACACACAUCUAUUUUACAAAAUGUUGUCUAGAAGAGACCAGUUUGUUUUAUCAAUGGGCGUAUUGGUAUCCAUCACACUCUGCAUGGUUACAUUAUAUGAUACUCCAACUUUGAAUCCAAUCCGACAAUAUGUGCCAGAAGGUCGUAUUUAUGGGCGAGACCAAAAUUGCAAGGCUUAUAUUACCACUAACAGAAUCGGCAACAUCAAGCGUCUAUUGAACAUGAAGACUACACCGGAAGUUGAAAACCAUCUGCACCGACUUGGUUAUCCAAAUAGGAAUACAACAUCCGGUGACGUCUACAUACCGGAUCUACCAGACCCCAAGAUCCCUAUUCCACGAAUUCCUGUAAUUGUGGCUGGUGCCUCUAGUAAUCAUUUUACAGAGAUGCAAGCCUUGAUGCAUAAUAUUGAUACAGUUCUAAGACCAGUUUAUCCGGAUAUUAAAGUUAUUUUAUAUGAUAUCGGAUUUACAGAAUCACAAA